CUUGGUCAUUUAGAGGAAGUAAAAGUCGUAACAAGGUCUCCGUUGGUGAACCAGCGGAGGGAUCAUUACCGAGUUUACAACUCCCAAACCCAAUGUGAACCAUACCAAACUGUUGCCUCGGCGGGGUCACGCCCCGGGUGCGUCGCAGCCCCGGAACCAGGCGCCCGCCGGAGGGACCAACCAAACUCUUUCUGUAGUCCCCUCGCGGACGUUAUUUCUUACAGCUCUGAGCAAAAAUUCAAAAUGAAUCAAAACUUUCAACAACGGAUCUCUUGGUUCUGGCAUCGAUGAAGAACGCAGCGAAAUGCGAUAAGUAAUGUGAAUUGCAGAAUUCAGUGAAUCAUCGAAUCUUUGAACGCACAUUGCGCCCGCCAGUAUUCUGGCGGGCAUGCCUGUCCGAGCGUCAUUUCAACCCUCGAACCCCUCCGGGGGGUCGGCGUUGGGGAUCGGGAACCCCUAAGACGGGAUCCCGGCCCCGAAAUACAGUGGCGGUCUCGCCGCAGCCUCUCCUGCGCAGUAGUUUGCACAACUCGCACCGGGAGCGCGGCGCGUCCACGUCCGUAAAACACCCAACUUCUGAAAUGUUGACCUCGGAUCAGGUAGGAAUACCCGCUGAACUUAAGCAUAUCAAUAAGCGGAGGA
rnacentral:rRNA from 1 species